rnacentral:rRNA from 1 species
ACACGUGAUCUAGAGUUUGAUCCUGGCUCAGGACGAACGCUGGCGGCGUGCCUAACACAUGCAGGUCAACGGGGUAGAGAGCUUCGGUUUUCUACUUAGUGGCGAACGGGUGAGUAACGCGUGAGAAACCUGCCUUUCAGUGGGGGACAACAGUUGGAAACGACUGCUAAUACCGCAUAAUGUAUUUAGGGGGCAUCCCUUGGAUACCAAAGCUUUAUGUGCUGAAAGAUGGUCUCGCGUCUGAUUAGCUAGUUGGCGGGGUAACGGCCCACCAAGGCGACGAUCAGUAGCCGGUCUGAGAGGAUGAACGGCCACAUUGGGACUGAGAUACGGCCCAG